CCUACGGGAGGCAGCAGUGGGGAAUAUUGGACAAUGGGGGCAACCCUGAUCCAGCCAUGCCGCGUGUGUGAAGAAGGCCCUCGGGUUGUAAAGCACUUUCAGUGAGGAAGAACGCCUGGUGGUUAAUACCCAUCAGGAAAGACAUCACUCACAGAAGAAGCACCGGCUAACUCCGUGCCAGCAGCCGCGGUAAUACGGAGGGUGCGAGCGUUAAUCGGAAUUACUGGGCGUAAAGCGCGCGUAGGUGGCUUGAUAAGCCGGUUGUGAAAGCCCCGGGCUCAACCUGGGAACGGCAUCCGGAACUGUCAAGCUAGAGUGCAGGAGAGGAAGGUAGAAUUCCCGGUGUAGCGGUGAAAUGCGUAGAGAUCGGGAGGAAUACCAGUGGCGAAGGCGGCCUUCUGGACUGACACUGACACUGAGGUGUGAAAGCGUGGGUAGCAAACAGGAUUAGAUACCCUUGUAGUC
rnacentral:rRNA from 1 species